GAAUCCCGUCCACCGAAUGCCUAAGGUUUCCUGAGGAAGGCUCGUCCGCUCAGGGUUAGUCAGGACCUAAGCCGAGGCCGACAGGCGUAGGCGAUGGACAACAGGUUGAUAUUCCUGUACCACCUCUUUAUCGUUUGAGCAAUGGAGGGACGCAGAAGGAUAGAAGAAGCGUGCGAUUGGUUGUGCACGUCCAAGCAGUUAGGCUGAUAAGUAGGCAAAUCCGCUUAUCGUAAAGGCUGAGCUGUGAUGGGGAAGCUCCUUAUGGAGCGAAGUCUUUGAUUCCCCGCUGCCAAGAAAAGCUUCUAGCGAGAUAAAAGGUGCCUGUACCGCAAACCGACACAGGUAGGCGAGGAGAGAAUCCUAAGGUGUGCGAGAGAACUCUGGUUAAGGAACUCGGCAAAAUGACCCCGUAACUUCGGGAGAAGGGGUGCUUUCUUAACGGAAAGCCGCAGUGAAUAGGCCCAAGCGACUGUUUAGCAAAAACACAGGUCUCUGCGAAGCCGUAAGGCGAAGUAUAGGGGCUGACACCUGCCCGGUGCUGGAAGGUUAAGGAGAGGGGUUAGCGUAAGCGAAGCUCUGAACUGAAGCCCCAGUAAACGGCGGCCGUAACUAUAACGGUCCUAAGGUAGCGAAAUUCCUUGUCGGGUAAGUUCCGACCCGCACGAAAGGUGUAACGAUUUGGGCACUGUCUCAACCAGAGACUCGGUGAAAUUAUAGUACCUGUGAAGAUGCAGGUUACCCGCGACAGGACGGAAAGACCCCGUGGAGCUUUACUGUAGCCUGAUAUUGAAUUUUGGUACAGUUUGUACAGGAUAGGCGGGAGCCAUUGAAACCGGAGCGCUAGCUUCGGUGGAGGCGCUGGUGGGAUACCGCCCUGACUGUAUUGAAAUUCUAACCUACGGGUCUUAUCGACCCGGGAGACAGUGUCAGGUGGGCAGUUUGACUGGGGCGGUCGCCUCCUAAAGUGUAACGGAGGCGCCCAAAGGUUCCCUCAGAAUGGUUGGAAAUCAUUCGUAGAGUGCAAAGGCAUAAGGGAGCUUGACUGCGAGACCUACAAGUCGAGCAGGGACGAAAGUCGGGCUUAGUGAUCCGGUGGUUCCGCAUGGAAGGGCCAUCGCUCAACGGAUAAAAGCUACCCCGGGGAUAACAGGCUUAUCUCCCCCAAGAGUCCACAUCGACGGGGAGGUUUGGCACCUCGAUGUCGGCUCAUCGCAUCCUGGGGCUGUAGUCGGUCCCAAGGGUUGGGCUGUUCGCCCAUUAAAGCGGUACGCGAGCUGGGUUCAGAACGUCGUGAGACAGUUCGGUCCCUAUCCGUCGUGGGCGCAGGAAAUUUGAGAGGAGCUGUCCUUAGUACGAGAGGACCGGGAUGGACGCACCGCUGGUGUACCAGUUGUUCUGCCAAGGGCAUAGCUGGGUAGCUAUGUGCGGAAGGGAUAAGUGCUGAAAGCAUCUAAGCAUGAAGCCCCCCUCAAGAUGAGAUUUCCCAUAGCGUAAGCUAGUAAGAUCCCUGAAAGAUGAUCAGGUUGAUAGGUUCGAGGUGGAAGC
rnacentral:rRNA from 1 species